rnacentral:lncRNA from 1 species
AUUAAUUUCCGACUUGGGACAGGCAUAUGAAGAUGUGGUAAAGUUACAGUAAUGUUUUUCUCAACCCUCUCCAUUUUUGAUCUUGAUCAGUUUGUUCAGUUUGUUUGAAUAAUUACUUCCUGGACAAUAAAUAUCCAUAUGUUCAUUUAGAAAGUGCACACUAAAAUUAAGUCAUUCUUUUUAAGGGAUGACCUUGAUACCAAGC